GUAGGGGGCAAGCGUUAUCCGGAUUUACUGGGUGUAAAGGGAGCGUAGACGGUUUUGCAAGUCUGAAGUGAAAGCCCGGGGCUUAACCCCGGGACUGCUUUGGAAACUGUAGGACUAGAGUGCAAGAGAGGUAAGUGGAGUUCCUAGUGUAGCGGUGAAAUGCGUAGAUAUUAGGAGGAACACCAGUGGCGAAGGCGGCUUACUGGACGGUAACUGACGUUGAGGCUCGAAAGCGUGGGGAGCAAACAGGAUUAGAUACCCUGGUAGUCCACGCCGUAAACGAUGACUACUAGGUGUCGGGCAGCAAAGCUGUUCGGUGCCGCAGCAAACGCAAUAAGUAGUCCACCUGGGGAGUACGUUCGCAAGAAUGAAACUCAAA
rnacentral:rRNA from 1 species